CCUACGGGCGGCUGCAGUGGGGAAUAUUGGACAAUGGGGGCAACCCUGAUCCAGCCAUGCCGCGUGUGUGAAGAAGGCCCUCGGGUUGUAAAGCACUUUCAGUGAGGAAGAACGCCUGGUGGUUAAUACCCAUCAGGAAAGACAUCACUCACAGAAGAAGCACCGGCUAACUCCGUGCCGGCAGCCGCGGUAAUACGGAGGGUGCGAGCGUUAAUCGGAAUUACUGGGCGUAAAGCGCGCGUAGGUGGCUUGAUAAGCCGGUUGUGAAAGCCCCGGGCUCAACCUGGGAACGGCAUCCGGAACUGUCAAGCUAGAGUGCAGGAGAGGAAGGUAGAAUUCCCGGUGUAGCGGUGAAAUGCGUAGAGAUCGGGAGGAAUACCAGUGGCGAAGGCGGCCUUCUGGACUGACACUGACACUGAGGUGCGAAAGCGUGGGUAGCAAACAGGAUUAGAUACCCGAGUAGUC
rnacentral:rRNA from 1 species